CGAGGGGCUGAGUAAAAAAGAAAGUUCCUUUGCUGCUAAACAUGGGUUAGAUGGUUUCUCAGCCUGUGCAAUAGAGGAAGACAUGUUUACAUGCAGGGGCUUUGCCUGGAACAGCACAUAAUUUACUGGCACUUUGGAUCUGCAGGAGAAAACCAGAAUGUUUCCACCAUCAAAGGUCUCUUGGAGUUGUUGAAAGAAGGCUGGAACAGUCCUGCUUUUUGGACUUUCUUUUCUUAAGGUAUUUUUCCUCCUAUCUGAUUUCCAAAGAGGGGUCUGAUUUUCAUUUUACA
rnacentral:lncRNA from 12 species